UACAGGAAAGGGGUUGGGAGGGUUGGGUGGGGAGGUGAGCGAAGCUCUGGGCUCCACCAGUGGAAGGCGUUCCACAAGAAUUGCUACAGGGUCAAAAGUUUACAGUGGUUUCAAUUUCACCUUUUAGCAGCCAAUCAGGAAACAGAGACUGCACACUGACCCCUCAGGCUGCAAAUGAACAUUAACUCAUUGGCUACCAGGAUUGCACAUAUUCCUUUUCUUCCACUCCCCAGGAUGGUGCUGAGAAGCAAGGGAAUGGUCAGAGCCAAGCCAACACCAUCGGACUCAGACGACCAGCAGUGGGCAGGUACAGUUAAGGCAAGAAAGGGCUUCCUCUAA